GAUGAACGCUGGCGGCGUGCCUAAUACAUGCAAGUCGAGCGAACAGACGAGGAGCUUGCUCCUCUGACGUUAGCGGCGGACGGGUGAGUAACACGUGGAUAACCUACCUAUAAGACUGGGAUAACUUCGGGAAACCGGAGCUAAUACCGGAUAAUAUAUUGAACCGCAUGGUUCAAUAGUGAAAGACGGUUUUGCUGUCACUUAUAGAUGGAUCCGCGCCGCAUUAGCUAGUUGGUAAGGUAACGGCUUACCAAGGCGACGAUGCGUAGCCGACCUGAGAGGGUGAUCGGCCACACUGGAACUGAGACACGGUCCAGACUACUACGGGAGGCAGCAGUAGGGAAUCUUCCGCAGUGGGCGAAAGCCUGACGGAGCAACGCCGCGUGAGUGAUGAAGGUCUUCGGAUCGUAAAACUCUGUUAUUAGGGAAGAACAAAUGUGUAAGUAACUAUGCACGUCUUGACGGUACCUAAUCAGAAAGCCACGGCUAACUACGUG
rnacentral:rRNA from 1 species